rnacentral:rRNA from 1 species
UACGGGGGGGGCCCGCUUUUUUCUUAAUUACUUUUCGUAAAGGGCUCGUAGGUGGCCAACUAAGUCGGACGUGAAAUCCCUCAGCUUAACUGGGGAACUGCGUCCGAUACUGGAUGGCUUGAGUUUGGGAGAGGGAUGCGGAAUUCCAGGUGUAGCGGUGAAAUGCGCAGAUAUCAGGAGGAACACCAAUGGCGAAGGCAGCUCGCUGGGACGGUACUGACGCUGAGACGCGAAAGCGUGGGGAGCAAACAGA